rnacentral:rRNA from 1 species
GAUGAACGCUGGCGGCGUGCCUAAUACAUGCAAGUCGAGCGAACGGACGAGAAGCUUGCUUCUCUGAUGUUAGCGGCGGACGGGUGAGUAACACGUGGAUACCCUACCUAUAAGACUGGGAUAACUUCGGGACACCGGAGCUAAUACCGUAUAAUCUUUUGAACCGCAUGGUUCAAUAGUGAAAGACGGUCUUUCUGUCACUUAUAGAUGGAUCCGCGCUUCAUUAGCUAGUUGGUAAGGUAACGGCUUACCAAGGCAACGAUGCAUAGCCGACCUGAGAGGGGGAUAGGCGACAUGGGAACUGAGACACGGUCAAGACUCCUAAGGGAGGCAGCAGUAGGGAAUGUUCCGCAGUGGGCGAAAGCAUGACGGAGUAACGCCGAGUGAGAGAUGAAGGUCUUCGGAUCGUAAAAAUCUGUUAUUAGGGAAGAACAGAUGUGGAAGUAACUGUGCACAGCGUGACGGUACCUAAUCAGAAAGCAACGGCUAACUACGUG